rnacentral:rRNA from 1 species
CCUACGGGUGGCAGCAGUGGGGGAUAUUGCACAAUGGGGGGAACCCUGAUGCAGCGACGCCGCGUGGGUGAAGAAGCGCCUCGGCGCGUAAAGCCCUGUCAGCAGGGAAGAAAAUGACGGUACGUGAAUAAGAAGCACCGGCUAACUACGUGCCAGCAGCCGCGGUAAUACGUAGGGGGCAAGCGUUAUCCGGAUUUACUGGGUGGAAAGGGGGCGCAGACGGCGAUGCAAGCCAGGAGUGAAAGCCAGGGGCCCAACCCCGGGACUGCUCUUGGAACUGCGUGGCUGGAGUGCAGGAGGGGCAGGCGGAAUUCCUGGUGUAGCGGUGAAAUGCGUAGAUAUCAGGAGGAACACCGGGGGCGAAGGCGGCCUGCUGGACUGCAACUGACAUUGAGGCACGAAAGCGUGGGGAGCAAACAGGAUUAGAUACCCCUGUAGUC